rnacentral:rRNA from 1 species
CCCCGGUAAACGGCGGCCGUAACUAUAACGGUCCUAAGGUAGCGAAAUUCCUUGUCGGGUAAGUUCCGACCUGCACGAAUGGCGUAAUGAUGGCCAGGCUGUCUCCACCCGAGACUCAGUGAAAUUGAACUCGCUGUGAAGAUGCAGUGUACCCGCGGCAAGACGGAAAGACCCCGUGAACCUUUACUAUAGCUUGACACUGAACAUUGAGCCUUGAUGUGUAGGAUAGGUGGGAGGCUUUGAAGUGUGGACGCCAGUCUGCAUGGAGCCGACCUUGAAAUACCACCCUUUAAUGUUUGAUGUUCUAACGUGGACCCGUAAUCCGGGUUGCGGACAGUGUCUGGUGGGUAGUUUGACUGGGGCGGUCUCCUCCUAAAGAGUAACGGAGGAGCACGAAGGUUGGCUAAUCCUGGUCGGACAUCAGGAGGUUAGUGCAAUGGCAUAAGCCAGCUUGACUGCGAGCGUGACGGCGCGAGCAGGUGCGAAAGCAGGUCAUAGUGAUCCGGUGGUUCUGAAUGGAAGGGCCAUCGCUCAACGGAUAAAAGGUACUCCGGGGAUAACAGGCUGAUACCGCCCAAGAGUUCAUAUCGACGGCGGUGUUUGGCACCUCGAUGUCGGCUCAUCACAUCCUGGGGCUGAAG